rnacentral:rRNA from 1 species
UUCCUCUUGAACUUAUGGGAGGUAGUCCCUGCCCGGUGCCAGGUGAGUGGUCAACGGCGGCCUUAGUCUGAGGGUCCAAAGGUAGCAUAAUAAGUUGGCUCUUAAUUGGAGUCUAGUAUGAAUGGGUUAACGUAGCAACAACUGUGUCGCAUGCAUAAUGUUGAAAUUAACUUAAAGGUGAAAAGGCCUUUAUAGGUGAGGAAGACGACAAGACCCUAGAAUCUUUACAUUUGUCUAUGUUUGCGUUUAAAGUGUUUAUUAUUUACUUACCUGUAAACAAGAUUGAAGUUUUGUUGGGGCAACAGGGGAAGAAUUAUCUUGCCUAAUUUAUUCUAGACUUGUUUGGUUUGAAGUGUUCUUUGACUUACUAGUUUUAGCCGUUAUAUUAUGAGCAUGAUUAAGUUACUCUAGGGAUAACAGCGCAAUACCUUUUAAGAGCUCUUAUUGAAAAAGGUGUUUGCGACCUCGAUGUUGGCUUAGGGUAUCCUGCAGGUGUAGAAGCUUGCACGGGUUGGUCUGUUCGCCCAUUAAAACCCUACA